rnacentral:misc_RNA from 1 species
UCUGCAUGCGUGCGUACUUAUGUGUCGGUGUCUAUUUUGCAUUACAUCUCAAGACUGGACGAACUAAAAUCUCUGAAAUUUGGCAAGAUUAUCUCUCUCCUUCUCAGCAAUAUUAGUUACUUAUACUAAGAAACACACCUGAUUUCUAUUUGCCGAGUUUUUUCUUUAUUCCAAACGUUUUCAGCCUAUUUGGAUAGGCCAUCUUCAGGCUUUUACAUUCAUCCUUCCAAAUGGAACAAAUUUGUUCGAAUUUAUUUCAUUGAAAUAAAUUCGAACGUUUGGAAUAAAGAAAAAAAACUCGGCAAAUAGAAAUCAGGUGUGUUUCUUAGUACUUGGCAAGAUUCUAUGUAUAGAAAAUUGAUACUAUUAAAUUUUGGUAGUUAAAAGUCAAGGAGGUGGACAGAUAAAAGCGGUCAUGUCUCGAGUGGGAUCGUACUUAAAAAUUUUUAUUAGUUAUUGGCAUUUACAGUUUUUUAAAAUUCAUUUCUACCAUCAAAAUUAAGCUCUUUGCCUUUUUAUAAUAAUUAAUAAUCAACAACUACUAUAAAACAAAAAUCAAUUGUUGCCAUAGUAGUAGUUGCUAUGUUGAAAGUAAACAAGAUAGGGUUAUUGAUAACUGUUUGAUGAGUACAAAGCCAGAGAAGUGGAAAUAUGGCUACGAACAAAGCUAAAGUUAAUAGUUCACUUAAAGUAUCACAAUCAAAAGCUGUAGUAAGUGAAAAAAAGACUUUAAAUUAUCACGAUUAUAUCGAAAGAAACAAGAAAUUGCUAAAGCUUGGAUUUAUUUCACAAAUACAAUGUGAAGAAAUUAGAAAAUUGAGAAAAUCAAUUGCAGACAAAGAAGAAAUCAUGGAUAACUUAGAAAGAGACUAUGAAGAAAAUUUGCAAAAACUACAAGACAAAGUGGAAGAAGGCAAAAAAGAAUGUGAAGAAGCUAUGAGUUUAGUAACUAGUGUUAAAGAAAAAUCAUUAGAAUUACUGGAUGAAAUUCAAAACUUAUCAAAUCGCAAGAAAAUGAUGGAAUUCAAGAUCCUAAAACGUGAACGAGAAUUAAGGAAAUUAGAGAAGUACAGAAAUUUAUUGCUUUGUUUAGCAUCUCGAGAAGGAAAUGAGGAUUUAGAAUGCUUUAAAAACCCAGAUAAGAUUAAGAACAUUUUAAUUAGAUACGAAAGUGAAUGUUUGUCACGAAUUACACAUAAUUCAGAGCUCGAAGAGAUGUUGAAAGAUAAAUGCGAAAAUUUUAAAAAAACUGAAGAAAUUUAUAAAGAAAAAUUAGACGCUUUGAAUGAUACAAAGAACUGUUUAGAAGAAAGUCUGAAAAAAGAAAACCAAAAAUCGAAAAAAUACGAAGAACUAAUUGCUAUGAGUCAAAACUCUGUGGAAAAUAUGGAGGAUAAACGUUUGCAGGAAAAAAUAAUAGAAGUGCAUCGUACUUGCGGAACAUUUUUCGAAGAAACUGAUUGGAUAAAAAUGUUGACAGAUAUUGAGACAAAAAGAAAAGCAAAGAGCAGAAGAAAAAAGAAUACAAGAAGUAAAACUAAGACGAAAAAAAGAAAGAUUUAUUAAGAAAUGGGGAAACAUAGAUAUCAGAUAACUUGUCAUUCAUUAAUUUGAAUGAUUUACUGUGAAAGUCUUACUUAUUAUUUUAAUAACGAUGUGUGAAAAGAUCGGAUUGACACAUUAUCAUAAUGUAAUGAUAAAGGAAAACCAAUUAUUAAUAACUAUUGUAAGUUCAUAGAUUCAAUUCGCCCUUUUUUGGUUUAUAAUAUAAUUGACAAUAAUUUAUUAUUAAUAGUGGAAUUAUCUCUCGAAAUUUGAAAAAAGAAAGAAAGAGGAAUUUGCCGGACCCGAAUAAAAUAUCUCAUCAAUAAAAAAAUUUAUAUGCCCGGUAAUUUUUUGGUGUUUUUAGUAUAUUAUAAUGAAUUAGCUAUAUUUUGUAAAUUGUGCACCGUAUAUAUCAGAAAAAUCUUUUAAUCUUGGUUUACUACUUAUGUUAUGAUUGUAUUAAUGGAUAUUAGUGUAAUACUGUACGUAUGUACGCUGAUGAGGAUCUUUGUACUGUACCGGAAAUGCAUUCCUACUAAAAUUUGAGGUUAAUUAAAGGCUAUUUUUAGUAAAAUCUAGUCUAUUUAUUCUAGUAAGCCCUCCAAUUAAUUACAAUCCUAUUUAUUAUUAAAUUACCCUAUAUUUUUAAAUUAAUAUUAUUAAUUUUAUAAAAAUAUCCUUUUCCUUUCCUUUGCAUACUUUAACACGAAUUAGAACAUUCUAACUCGUUGCCUUUAUACAACAGAAAUGGCAUACCUCCUUCAUUAAAAGGAAAAUGGCGGUCGUGUAUUCAAUUUUCUUUAAUUUAAACAUGGCGUCACUACAGCUAAUAUGUAAUAUAUUCUAGCUCGUUGGUUGCCGGCCGGAUGGCCGAGCGGCCAA